CCUACGGGAGGCAGCAGUGGGGAAUAUUGGGCAAUGGGCGCAAGCCUGACCCAGCAACGCCGCGUGAAGGAAGAAGGCUCUCGGGUUGUAAACUUCUUUUAUCAGGGACGAAGCAAGUGACGGUACCUGAUGAAUAAGCCACGGCUAACUACGUGCCAGCAGCCGCGGUAAUACGUAGGUGGCAAGCGUUAUCCGGAUUUACUGGGGGUAAGAGGCGUGUAGGCGGGAAAGCAAGUCAGAUGUGAAAACCAUGGGCUCAACCUGUGGCCUGCAUUUGAAACUGUUUUUCUUGAGUACUGGAGAGGCAGACGGAAUUCCUAGUGUAGCGGUGAAAUGCGUAGAUAUUAGGAGGAACACCAGUGGCGAAGGCGGUCUGCUGGACAGCAACUGACGCUGAGGCGCGAAAGCGUGGGGAGCAAACAGGAUUAGAUACCCCAGUAGUC
rnacentral:rRNA from 1 species